CUACGGGAGGCUGCAGUGAGGAAUAUUGCACAAUGGGGGGAACCCUGAUGCAGCAACGCCGCGUGGAGGAUGACGCAUUUCGGUGUGUAAACUCCUUUUAUAUGUCAAGAAAAUGACGGUAGCAUAUGAAUAAGCACCGGCUAACUCCGUGCCAGCAGCCGCGGUAAUACGGAGGGUGCAAGCGUUACUCGGAAUCACUGGCGUAAAGGACGCGUAGGCGGGUUGGAAAGUCAGGUGUGAAAUCCUACAGCUUAACUGUGGAACUGCACUUGAAACUUCUAAUCUAGAGUAUGGGAGGGGGAGAUGGAAUUAGUGGUGUAGGGGUAAAAUCCGUAGAUAUCACUAGGAAUACCUAAAGCGAAGGCGAUCUCCUGGAACAUUACUGACGCUAAGGCGUGAAAGCGUGGGGAGCAAACAGGAUUAGAUACCCGAGUAGUC
rnacentral:rRNA from 1 species